UGGCUCAGAUGGUAAAGUGUCUGCCUACAAUGCAGGAGACCCAGGUUCUAUCCCUGG
rnacentral:tRNA from 1 species